rnacentral:lncRNA from 1 species
CACCGGGUUAUCCAAAUGGCAUCUUGUGAUCAAAUAGGUGAUUAUCAUUGGCUGAAUUACUCAUGAAUUAUUAAUGAAUUUGAGAAAUAUCAAUCCAAUGGUAUGUAACCUAAAAUUCAGCAGUGUCUGUGUAAUGUAAUACACCCUUACUUCUCAAUGGUCAAAUUAACUAUACUACAUUGUGUAUAAUAAUAUAUGGACUGGUUCAAAAAUAUAUUGAAUUUAUAACUUAUAAGUGUUGAACUGGUGAACUAUUGAUGUGGAGAUUAUGCCAAGUAUACAAUGGCACAAGGAUUUUCAUGUUAUCAGCAUGAUUAAAUCGUGAGAUUGUGCAAAUAAUCUGUGUAAAAUCUCUUAGAGAUAUCCUCGGUAUCUACAUUUUAAGGUAAAAUGACUGUGGUAAAGCUAUUCAAGGAAAAAAAUCAUUGGAUCUGUCCAACCUCGUUGUCAACAGUGAAUUUAACUAAAUUUAUGAUCCAUUUAUUGCCGUAUUUUAGCUGAGAAUUCAUUUAAGACAAUGCAAUACGAUAGACUUACCUUUGAAUUUAUCAUAUAUUCUUUUAAAAUGGUCUCCAAAGCUCUAAAACUCGAUUGGUAUCGUUUUAACUUCCUCACUCCUUAAUGUUUACAUGUAAAUUUGUCAAAUUACACUUGUUUAGGGCACUGGAAACGAGACGCGGCCAAGAUGCGCGAGCCGACAUGCGCGGGGACAUCAACAUCAAAGAUUCCGACAUCGAGUGAGACUUCUGGUCUUAUUAUUUAUUUUGUGGUGUGAUGCUUGCGAGGAAUGCUGGUCUUAGUAGUCAUCACCUGGGAAAAUUUCAAUGGUGGCCAUUUUGAAUUGUUUUAUUUUCCUGGGCAAUGACUACAAGACGGUAGACCAGCAUUCCUCGUGGGCAUCAAACCUUGUGAUGUCAUUAGGCAUAAGGUCAAUUGAGCAGUAUAAUGCCUGCAUUGGAACACACAAUUGUAUACGAUAAUGCUCACAAUUUCUUUCUUAUUAUACAGUUUUGCAGUUCUGACUGAGUACGGUCUUGGUCAUUACAAAUGGAUGGUGUCAUCUAAAGUUGACGUAUUAAACAAAAAUGUCAACAAAAUAGAUUUUGUCUUCCCAUCGGCAGAUUGUUCAAGUUGUUCUGCCGUAAGGGUAGCCAUGAAGGUGCCAUUGAAGCAAUAACUGGGACAAAAACUGACUUAGGGAAACCUGUUCAUAGGGAAAAACUUAUCCCGGUUAACGAGAAAAGUUUUCGACUAGCCAAAUACUUUUGUUCUGUUCACAUGGAGAAACUUUAUCCCACUUACCGGAUAAAGUUGCUGGUUGUGACAUAGCACUGAACAUGAAUUGAAUAGUUGCUGACACGACAAAAAGUUAUCCUGUUAAGUGGGAAAGUUGUGUUCAUGGGAAAACCAUUAUCCCAGUCACCAAGAUCCAGGCUUUUAGCCAGAAAGGCAUCCAGGCAUCCUGGGAUGCCCCUAGAACAAAACAUGGAUGCCUUUGGACGCCCAAAUUCUGGGGAAAAAGGGAAAUUAUUUUCAAUUAUUUCCUUAAGUAUAUUAAUAUAUCCGAAACGAAAUAGCUUCAAUUCUCAUUAUGAUUAUACAUUUGACAUUUUGAUCAAUUUGAUGGUGUACCUGGCUGAAUGAAAAUGUCGUACCGUAAACCUCAGACUAUAAGCCAUGGGCUUAUAUUCUUUUGUAAGCGAUUUUUGAUGGGCUUAUACAAGGGUGGGCUUAUAUACUGGGGGCAGAGGGGGCAUAUACAUGGAAAAUCUUUUGUGUUAGUGUAAUAGUGAUAAACAAGUAUAGUAAUAAUGAUAAACAAGUGUUAAGCAUAGUAAUGUAUAAUAGUGGUAAUAGUGAUAAACAAGUGGGCUUAUAUUCUGGUGGGCUUAUAUUCGGGGAGGGGGCUUAUAUUCAGUGAGGGCGCUUAUAUUUGGAAUGAGGUGAGCGUUAGUACAUGUGGUGGGCUUAUACAUAGGGGGCUUAUAUUCGGAGGGGGGGGGGGGGCUUAUAUUCGGAAGUUUACGGUAGUUAAGUAAAGAAGCAUGGCGGCACAAACUCAGUACUCACAAAGCCAAGUGGAAAAUUUCGAAUGGGCUUGGAACAGAUACUGAUAUGAAGUAACGUAAACUUCAAAGGUUUUCCAGAAGAACGUUUUCUCGACCCCUGCCCCACCUCUUUACUGUAGAUGUAUUGUUGUACCAAAAUUGGACGCCCUCUUUUAGGACCUUGGCUAAAGGCCUGCAGAGAUAUUGCCUGUCAACAAGCGAGAUCUCAGUACAUGGGAAAACUUGUUGUCUCAUAUGAAUGCAGUGUAACUUUUCAUGUUAUGUUCAUACCAGGCGAGAUCUUUCUUGUAAACUUGUCGAAAAGUUUUCUUGCUAACCUCUACAUAUCCAAUGAUUCAUUCAAGUAUUAUUAUUGUUUGUUAUACAUGAUAAUGUACAGUACUACAGUAUUCAGUGCCAGUGGCAAGCUAGCCAUGACAACUGGUCAUCAGGUCAUGCUAUGCUAAUAUUAAUAAACCUGCAUCUAUUUCAAUAAUUCAAAUCAUUAAAAACUUGCAUAGCAUGACCUGUAGACUUUGACAAAGUCCUUAGUCUUUUUUUAGAAUGAAGGAAUUUUCAAGGAAGUAAUUUCUUGAAGAGUAAGGAGUUUGUGGAAGUCAAUAGGAUUAGAAUAUUUAGCUGACCGUUGACUUUGUGCAAGGUGUUUUCGUGUUCAAAUUGCACUUUUCCUACCUCUUGAACAAGUGCCUUAAGUCGGUUUUCCACUUCAACCGUAUUGUAGUGAAACGUAGCAUAUUUCUUUGUUUCCUGACCGCAGGAGUGGAACUAAUGAUUUCGACACAAAAAAAUGUUACGGUACGAUACGUUUGAAGUGGAAAACCGGCUUUAGGGGUGUGCUUUACUUGCUUGUGUGAUGGAAGGCGAGUUGAGGCAGCAUUUUCCUUGCGAUAGUAACUUCUAGUACUAAU